rnacentral:tRNA from 1 species
GCCGACUUAGCUCAGUAGGUAGAGCAACUCAUUCGUAAUGAGUAGGUCAAAGGUUCAAAUCCUUUAGUCGGCACCA